rnacentral:lncRNA from 1 species
GUUAUGUUAUGUCUGCCCUCCUCUGAUGCUUGGGAAAUCGUUUGUUCUGUGGGCUUCUCCUGAGGAGAUGGACGAUUUUCAGAGCUUGCAGAAAGAAUUUGAGACCACCUUCAACCAGAGAAGCCUCUGUGGAAAUGUGCCGUCACUGGCCAGUUGUUCUGUCUGUCUGCUGUGGAACCCAGGCCCGUGAGAAGAGCAGGGGAGGUAUAGUCAUUUCCCUUGUUUUACGGCAGAGGAAACUGAAGAUAAAGCUAUGAAGUGAAGCUGGCUAGUGGCUGCCUCAGGGUUACUACUGAUAUCACUGGACCCCUUCAGAACCAAGCAUGAAUGAAGUUAUUGUCUCCCUGUCCCCUGGCUCCAAGUGCAUUGCAUCAUGAAAGGAAACUGUCACUCUUUUCAGCAUUGGCUGUUCUGACUUGGUAUUUUACUGCAUGGUGAUCUGAUGCUGUUGGGGAGACAGGCAUGUGGAGCAUUUUAAGCCACGAAGGAAGGUAUGUGAACUAAAUCCACAACUCACCUCUUAGGAACAACUGCCUGAGGAUAGGGUUCUUUCAGAAAACAUAAGCUCUGGUGACAAAUUC